AUUGAACGCUGGCGGCAGGCCUAACACAUGCAAGUCGAACGAGUGGCGGACGGGUGAGUAAUGUCUGGGAAACUGCCUGAUGGAGGGGGAUAACUACUGGAAACGGUAGCUAAUACCGCAUACCAUCGGAUGUGCCCAGAUGGGAUUAGCUAGUAGGUGGGGUAAAGGGUCACCUAGGCGACGAUCCCUAGCUGGUCUUAGAGGAUGACCAGCCAGACUGGGACUGAGACACGGGCCAGCCUCCUACGGGAGGCAGCAGUGGGGAAUAUUGCACAAGGGGCGCAAGCCUGAUGCAGCCAGGCCGCGUGUAUGAAGAAGGCCUUCGGGUUGUAAAGUACGUUCAGCGGGGAGGCGUUACCCGCAGAAGAAGCACGGGCUAACUCCGUGCCAGCAGUCGCGGUAAUAC
rnacentral:rRNA from 1 species